CUUUCUCCGCCGGCGACCGGCGCACGGGUGAGUAACACGUAUGCAACCUGCCCCUGUCAGGGGACAACCGCCGAAAGGCGGGCUAAACCCGCGUACAUGCCACCGGGGCAUCCCGGAGGCAGGAAAGGCUUCGGCCGGACAGGGAUGGGCAUGCGGCGCAUUAGGCAGUAGGCGGGGUAACGGCCCACCUAACCGACGAUGCGUAGGGGUUCUGAGAGGAAGGUCCCCCACACUGGUACUGAGACACGGACCAGACUCCUACGGAAGGCAGCAG
rnacentral:rRNA from 1 species